rnacentral:rRNA from 1 species
GUGGGGAAUCUUCCGCAAUGGACGAAAGUCUGACGGAGCAACGCCGCGUGAGUGAUGAAGGUCUUCGGAUUGUAAAGCUCUGUUAAUCGGGACGAAAGAGCCUAGUGUGAAUAAUGCUAGGAAGUGACGGUACCGGAAUAGAAAGCCACGGCUAACUACGUGCCAGCAGCCGCGGUAAUACGUAGGUGGCAAGCGUUGUCCGGAAUUAUUGGGCGUAAAGCGCGCGCAGGCGGAUCUGCCAGUCUGUCUUAAAAGUUCGGGGCUUAACCCCGUGAUGGGAUGGAAACUACAGAUGUAGAGGAUCGGAGAGGAGAGUGGAAUUCCUAGUGUAGCGGUGAAAUGCGUAGAUAUGAGGAAGAACACCAGUGGCGAAGGCGACUUUCUGGACGAAAACUGACGCUGAGGCGCGAAAGCCAGGGGAGCGAACGGGAUUAGAUACCCCAGUAGUCC